rnacentral:tRNA from 1 species
AGGGAUAUAGCUUAAUGGUAGAUUACAUGUUUGGCAUAAAUGAGAUCCUGGGUUCAAUUCCCAGUAUAAAUA